AGCGCGCCCCCGACCCACGCGCUUCCGGUUGGUGGCCUGUCCCUACCGAGCGCGGUCCUGCUCGCCGCUUCCUGUCUCCUCCCCUCACCCUGUUCCCCGCACCGGCAGAGCGGGCAGCUCCCGAGGCUCGUACCGGAACUGUGGCCUUCUCCCGGGACUUGGAGGACCGCCUCGGCUGAGGAAGUGACCGAGAGAAGAGAGUGGACAGGACUCACGGAAACACUCGAGAAGAUUCUCUCAGUGCCAUCCCCAGAGUGGCUGUGAUAGGAUAAGCCAAGUAAGGGUGAUGUGGAAACCGUUGUUCCAAGUUAAUGGUGAUCGCGGAUAAGAAUUGUUUUGUGUUUCUGUUGUUGAGACAGGGAGGGCAUCACUGUGUAACCCAGGCUUGCUUGGAACUCUUUCGUGGAGCAGUUUCGAACUUGAGAUUCACCUGCUCCUUGAGUCUCUCAAGUGCUGAGAGUAAAGGGGAUGUCAACGGCCUGGACAGCAACGUUGAAAGAAUUGUGGGUACGGUGAGGAGAAAAGUGAAGUAAAAGAGAGCACCCCAGAAAACUCUGAUGAAAAAAGUCAGGAAAUCCUGAUAGCUGAAGAAAAAUAAAAUGAAGAGACGAGAGAUAGAAGAAAGAUUGCCGAUAUUCCCAGAUUCGAUGGAAGAAUGAAAAAAGGAGAAAUAAAACAGAUACUUGGACUUGGGAUGUUGAAGCAGGAGGAUGAGCGAUUGUUAUGCAGCCGGGUGGAAGCCAGCCUAGAAUAAAGUGUGAGAAUGAAAAAAAACACAUAAUGACAGACAUAAUGCAGAGUCAAACUGGCUGGUCACACACAGUUCAGAUUUCAUUGAUAAGACUGACGGAAUCCGUUUAAUAUUGUUACUACCUAAGGCUUCUUUCCAGUUACAGUCAUUCUGAGAACAUUGCACUUGUAUGAGUUUUAAAGUGUUGAUCUGUGAGCAAAGAAUUCCUAUUCUAUACCUCCGUCAGUUCUCCUUAGCAUACAAGGAUCUUUCUUCAAACAUACUAAUUCAAAUGCCUUGAUAAGGUUAGGCCAUAGUCCAGUGGUAAGCUCUGGGCUAGACUCUGUUAGUUCCUGGCCUCCAUUCCCAACAUAGAAAAACAAACAACAAAAACAAAACUAAGCUCUAGACUGCCUCUCCUUAAACUCUUGCCCAAGAGCUAACUGAAGUACGGUAUACAUAUAAAUAAUUGAACUUUAAUGAGUAGAAUGUGGACAGCUGACUCAAGGUUUAAAAAAAAAAUACUCUUUCUUAAUCACAGUGGUUGUAUUGCUGUGAAGAGACACUUUGACCAAGACAACUAUUAUAAAAGAAAGCAUUUAAUUGGGACCUUGCUUACAGUUUCAGCAGUUUAGUCCAGUUAUGGGGGCCAGGGAGCAACGCAGUAUUCAGUCAGGUGCUGGAGCAGUAGCUGAGAGCUAUAACCUGAUAGAGGAACUCUGGGCUUGGCAUGGGCUUUUGAAACCUCAAAGCCUACUCCCACUGACACACUUCCUCUAAGAAGGCCACACCUCCUAAUCCUUCUAAUCCUUUCAAAUAAUAUCAUUUGUGACUAAGCAUUCAAAUAUAAAAGCCCAUGGGAGUUACUCAAACCAUCACACUCUAUUCACUGGCCUCCACAGUCCCCAUACUCUCACAGUCUCAAAGCUCCUUAAAAAAAAUCCAAAGUUUUAAGUAUCUUCUGAAAGUCAAGGCUUCUCUUACUGGAAACCCGUGUAAAAUCAAAAUCAGAUCACCUACUCCCAAUAUACAAUGACAGGUUACACAUCACCAUUCCAAAAAGGAGGAAAAAGAGCAUAGUGAGAGAAGACUGGAUCAAAAAGCAAAACCAGAAACCUAGCAAACUCCAAAUUAUGCAUCUCCAUGUCUGAUGUCAAAAUGCUCUUCAGAUCUCCAGCUCCCUUCAGCUUCUUUGACUAUAACACGUCUCUCCCUUGGGCUGGUUCACACCCUCUUAGCAGCUCUCCUUGGCAGGUGUCCCACCACUCUGGCAUCUUCAAUAUUUUGGGGCCUCCAACACACUCCAGGCUUCACUUUCACAGCUUCUCACAAUGGCCUCUCUGGACCUCUAUGUAGGGACACCCCUGACUUAUGCCUGGUAUCAGUCAGCAUCCUUCCUUAGCCUUGGAUGGAGAUUCCUCAAGCCCCUUCCUGUCUCUUCAGCUCUAAAGUCAUGACCACAUUGCAGAACUGCCGGGUUCUGUGAUUGCUGCAGCUGGAGCUUAGUCCCCUCCUAUUACAUUUUACUUAAGCUUCUCUCUCUCUCUCUCUCUCUCUCUCUCUCUCUCUCUCUCUCUCUCUCUCUCUCUGUUUUUGGUUGGUUGGUUGGUUUUUUGAGACAGGGUUUCUCUAUAGCCCUGGCUGUCCUCUGGAACUCACUCUGUAGACCAGGCUGGCCUCGAACUCAGAAAUCCUCCUGCCUCUGCCUCCCAAGUGCUGGGAUCAAAGGUGUACGCCACCACGCCCGGCUUAAGCUUCUCUCUAAUUCCUUCUCACAAGUUGGAAGGCUAGCCGGGCGUGGUCUUGCUCUGAGGUUACAACUCCUUUUAUUUCAUUUAGCAUCAGGCUUUUAUCUAUUUAUUUAUUUUAACUUUUUAUCUCCUUGAGUACAGGACUUAGCUCCAUUACACUUCCUGGUGUUCUUUUUCUUCCCAAACUACAUUUAUAUGUCUUUGUCCAGCUUGUCCCUUUUCAUCAUUGCAGAUCUGCAUAAGAAUAAUUACUAAUAACCACAGGACACAGUUAAUACUAGGCUGUCUUGAAAUCUUUUCUACCAAACCAUUAAUCCAAAACUCAGUUUAGCAGCUUGGGUUGGGUUUUUGUUGUUGUUGUUGUUGUUGUUGUUGUUGUUUUUGUUUUGUUUUGUUUUUGUCAAAAUACAUCAAGAAUGCUCUCUAGGCCACUUGCUAAUAUUCUUCCCCUCUGAAGCCUCUUGAGUUGGGCUGGUCAUAAUCUAUAUUGCUCUUAGAACCACCACUGUCUUCCAUGCUCCUUCUAGAAUGGCCCAUUAAGCCCCACUUAAACAGCUCAACUUCUUUCCUAAUCUAAAUUCCCAAAGUCCACACUCUACCAACUAGCAACAUGGUCUGGCCUGUCACAGCAAUACUUCAGUCCCAGUACCAACUCCUGUCUUGGUCAGUGAGAUAUUGCUGUAGAGACACCAUAGCCAAGACAACAACUAUAAGAGAAGGCAUUUGAGUGGGGCCUUGCUUACACUUUUGAACACUCAGUCCAUGAUCAUGGCAGGGAGCCUGGUGGCAUGCAGCAGUGCUGGAGCAAUAGUUGAGAGCUACAUCCUGAUCACAGGCUGAGAGACCAAGGGUUUGAAACCUCAAAAUGUGGGGUGGUGAACUGUGCACAGACAGCCUGGUCUCCAGUAGAGCACAAGCCUGGAACCCCGGAGACCUGGUAGGUGGUGACUUCUGCCUUCAUGGGACAUUAGGAGUUCAGCCACACCUCCUGGGCCCCUGGCUCCUGUCACAGCUACAGCCCCCCACAGCCCCCUGCAGAGAGGUGUGUGGCCAUCAGUCACAUAGGCAAUGCCCCAAGUCCCUGGUAUUCUGUCUGGGUAGCCACUCCUAGUUACCUCCCCACUACUACCUGACAACAGCAAGGUAGCCCAGACCACUAUAAAAGGAGCUGCUUGUCCCCUCCUCGCUCUCUCUCUCUUACCUUUUAUUCUCUUGCUCUUACUCUCACCUCUCUCUUCCCCUCUCUCUCCACGUGGCCAUGCCGCCCUCUGCUUCUCUACUCUCUGCCUUUCUACAAUAAACACCUGAAAACAAACCAUUGACUACCUCUUAUCAGGAUCCGCCAUGCUGGAGCAACAAAGUAGAUAUAUCUAACAAGCUGCGUGUCUAACCUCCCACCAGAAAAUUUCCUUGUGCUCCAGCCACGACCACCAACCCAAGCCGCCUGAGCUAGCCAGAAUCUCUCCUCCCCAAGGUAACCACCCAGAGCUCUCUCCUCCUGCCCUUUUUCCUUCAGCCCCCGGGCCAGAGUCCGCCCGAGGGUACCAAUUCUAUUCUCAGCUCUUCUGCAACCAACAGAGGUAUCUGGGAUGUCCGAGAGCGAGAACUUGUUGUGCCUGGCCUCCGUGCGGCCCAGGGACCCCAGAACUGGCUCUUCCAGGAUGCCCAGUGAUCUGUGAUGCUGAGAGUCGGAGCCCGACUUCGGCAGUUCCACAGGGACCCCAAACUGUGCCCUUUCCUCACAUCCAGAGCGGGAUCCCGCGGCUUCUCAAAGUCCAGUGCCCACCUGGCGGUUCCGUGGGGUCCACUGUGCAGUCAGAUCUCCCACAUCCCAUUCUCGCCCAGCAACCCUAGCUCCGAGCGGACCCCAUUUUUUACUCCACACCCCCCCCCCCCAGUGACACACUUCUCCCCACAAAGACACACCUCCUAAUUCUUUCAAAUGGUGCAACUCCCUGGCCUUCAACUUCGAGAUCCACCUGCCUCCUCCAGCUAAGUGCUGGGAUUCAAGCCAUGUACCACCACUACCUGGCAACUAUUUGUUCUUAAUAAAGGAUAAAUCAUCUUCCUA